rnacentral:rRNA from 1 species
CUACGGGCUGCAGCAGUGGGGAAUAUUGGACAAUGGGGGAAACCCUGAUCCAGCAAUGCCGCGUGUGUGAAGAAGGCCUGCGGGUUGUAAAGCACUUUCGGUUGGGAGGACUGCUUCUAGCACUAAUAUUGUUGGAAGUUGACGUUACCUUCAGAAGAAGCACCGGCUAACUCCGUGCCAGCAGCCGCGGUAAUACGGAGGGUGCAUGCGUUAAUCGGAAUUACUGGGCGUAAAGCGCGCGUAGGCGGCUAGAUCAGUCGGGUGUGAAAGCCCCGGGCUUAACCUGGGAACUGCAUCCGAUACUGUCUAGCUUGAGUACAGGAGAGGAGAGUGGAAUUCCACAUGUAGCGGUGAAAUGCGUAGAUAUGUGGAGGAACACCAAUGGUGAAGGCAGCUCUCUGGCCUGAUACUGACGCUGAGGUGCGAAAGCGUGGGGAGCAAACAGGAUUAGAUACCCCAGUAGUC